rnacentral:tRNA from 1 species
GCCGCAUCCAGAACGCGGGCGAGGGCUUCGGCCUCCGGGGCUGGGGCAGCCGCGAUGUUCGAUUCUUCGGAGCGGCGC